rnacentral:rRNA from 1 species
GACGAACGCUGGCGGCGUGCCUAAUACAUGCAAGUAGAACGCUGAAGGAGGAGCUUGCUUCUCUGGAUGAGUUGCGAACGGGUGAGUAACGCGUAGGUAACCUGCCUGGUAGCGGGGGAUAACUAUUGGAAACGAUAGCUAAUACCGCAUAAGAGUAGAUGUUGCAUGACAUUUGCUUAAAAGGUGCAAUUGCAUCACUACCAGAUGGACCUGCGUUGUAUUAGCUAGUUGGUGGGGUAACGGCUCACCAAGGCGACGAUACAUAGCCGACCUGAGAGGGUGAUCGGCCACACUGGGACUGAGACACGGCCCAGACUCCUACGGGAGGCAGCAGUAGGGAAUCUUCGGCAAUGGACGGAAGUCUGACCGAGCAACGCCGCGUGAGUGAAGAAGGUUUUCGGAUCGUAAAGCUCUGUUGUAAGAGAAGAACGAGUGUGAGAGUGGAAAGUUCACACUGUGACGGUAUCUUACCAGAAAGGGACGGCUAACUACGUA